UUUAUGAAAACAGAAUAUGCAGCUACAAAAAUAGAAUAUGGACCUAAAUACUCCACAGCACCUCCGUUUGUAAGAUUUGUAACAAAAAUUAAUAAGAAUGGAGUUAGUAGUUCUAAUGGAGUGGUGGACCAAGAACCUUAUUAGUGCUAGCAAAAUGGCAGAAUCCAUAUAACAUCAAAGUUGUCCUGCAAGAGCUUCAGCGCCUAAAGAUGUCUAGUGAAAACAUGAAACUCCCUCAGCUGCCUGAAGGACAGCAUUACAGCAA
rnacentral:lncRNA from 1 species